rnacentral:rRNA from 1 species
ACUUAGUGGCGGACGGGUGAGUAACGCGUGGGUAACCUGCCCUGUACAGGGGGACAACAGCUGGAAACGGCUGCUAAUACCGCAUAAGCCCUUAGCACUGCAUGGUGCAUAGGGAAAAGGAGUAAUCCGGUACAGGAUGGACCCGCGUCUGAUUAGCCAGUUGGCAGGGUAACGGCCUACCAAAGCGACGAUCAGUAGCCGAUCUGAGAGGAUGUACGGCCACAUUGGGACUGAGACACGGCCCAGACUCCUACGGGAGGCAGCAGUGGGGAAUAUUGCACAAUGGAGGAAACUCUGAUGCAGCGACGCCGCGUGAGUGAAGAAGUAUUUCGGUAUGUAAAGCUCUAUCAGCAGGGAAGAAAAUGACGGUACCUGACUAAGAAGCACCGGCUAAAUACGUGCCAGCAGCCGCGGUAAUACGUAUGGUGCAAGCGUUAUCCGGAUUUACUGGGUGUAAAGGGAGCGUAGGUGGCAAGGCAAGCCAGAAGUGAAAACCCGGGGCUCAACCGCGGGAUUGCUUUUGGAACUGUCAUGCUAGAGUGCAGGAGGGGUGAGCGGAAUUCCUAGUGUAGCGGUGAAAUGCGUAGAUAUUAGGAGGAACACCGGAGGCGAAGGCGGCUCACUGGACUGUAACUGACACUGAGGCUCGAAAGCGUGGGGAGCAAACAGG